UUGUUGUUUUGUGUUACGGGCGUAUGGUGGAUGCCUUGGCAUGCUGGGCCGAUGAAGGACGUGUGAGGCUGCGUUAAGCCUCGGGG
rnacentral:rRNA from 1 species